AAACACCUUCGGGUGUGAAUUAGCGGCGAACGGGUGAGGAACACGUGAAGAAUCUGCCUUCAACUCUGGGAUAACUCCGGGAGACCGGGGCUAAUACCGGAUAUGAGCCUUGAUCGCAUGAUCGGGGCUGGAAAGUUUUUCGGUUGAAGAUGACUUCGCGGCCUAUCAACUUGUUGGUGAGGUAAUGGCUCACCAAGGCGACGACGGGUAGCCGGCCUGAGAGGGCGACCGGCCACACUGGGACUGAGAUACGGCCCAGACUCCUACGGGAGGCAGCAGUGGGGAAUAUUGGGCAAUGGAGGAAACUCUGACCCAGCGACGCCGCGUGAGGGAUGAAGGCCUUCGGGUUGUAAACCUCUUUCAGUAGGGAAGAAGCGAAAGUGACGGUACCUACAGAAGAAGCACCGGCUAACUAUGUGCCAGCAGCCGCGGUAAUACAUAGGGUGCAAGCGUUGUCCGGAAUUAUUGGGCGUUAAGAGCUCGUAGGUGGUUCGAUACGUCGGAUGUGAAAAUCAGGGGCUCAACCCCUGACCUGCAUCCGAUACGGUCGAGCUGGAGUUUGGUAGGGGAGACUGGAAUUCCUGGUGUAGCGGUGGAAUGCGCAGAUAUCAGGAGGAACACCGAUGGCGAAGGCAGGUCUCUGGGCCAAUACUGACACUGAGGAGCGAAAGCGUGGGGAGCGAACAGGAUUAGAUACCCUGGUAGUCCACGCCGUAAACGGUGGGCGCUAGUUGUGCGAACCUUCCACGGUUUGUGCGACGCAGCUAACGCAUUAAGCGCCCCGCCUGGGGAGUACGAUCGCAAGAUUAAAACUCAAAGGAAUUGACGGGGCCCCGCACAAGCAGCGGAGCAUGCGGCUUAAUUCGA
rnacentral:rRNA from 1 species